rnacentral:tRNA from 3 species
GCCGGGGUGGCUUAGCUGGUUAGAGCGCUGCACUCAUAAUGCAGAGGUCACGGGUUCGAAGCCCGUCCCCGGCA